UAGGGAAUCUUCCGCAAUGGACGCAAGUCUGACGGAGCAACGCCGCGUGAGUGAAGAAGGAUUUCGGUUCGUAAAACUCUGUUGUUAGAGAAGAACAGCGCAUAGAGUAACUGUUAUGCGUGUGACGGUAUCUAACCAGAAAGCCGCGGCUAACUACGUGCCAGCAGCCGCGGUAAUACGUAGGUGGCAAGCGUUGUCCGGAUUUAUUGGGCGUAAAGCGAGCGCAGGCGGUCAAUUAAGUCUGAUGUGAAAGCCCCCGGCUCAACCGGGGAGGGUCAUUGGAAACUGGUUGACUUGAGUGCAGAAGAGGAGAGUGGAAUUCCAUGUGUAGCGGUGAAAUGCGUAGAUAUAUGGAGGAACACCAGUGGCGAAGGCGACUCUCUGGUCUGUAACUGACGCUGAGGCUCGAAAGCGUGGGUAGCAAACAGG
rnacentral:rRNA from 1 species